CGGGGAGUGGAUGAGCUGGCGGCGGCCGGAGCGCUGGAGGCGUUCCUGGCGAUCCUGCGGUCGGUCGUCGACCGUGUUCUGAUUCCGGUUGCCGA
rnacentral:tRNA from 1 species